UGUAGGACAGUGUAGGACUUUGGCAACCAAUAGCGCUUAUUUAUAUUAUAUAUAUGAUAUGGCCAACUAGAACUUUCGCUCUCAUCUCGUAGAGGGCAAGUCGACAGUUACAUAUUGUCGAUCAUACACAUAAGACGUACCUACAUAUUACACAGACGAGCGGAUUCCUCUUCGGUCAAGUUGAUUUCAUAUCUUGUCUGCUGUACACGCAAGACGUAUUAUAGAGACGUAUUAUAGAGACAAGCGGACUCCUGACCGGUGUCGCAACACUAAUUCGGAAUCAAAUAAAAAUUACGUUGUGUUCAAUUAAAUUACCUAGAAGAAAGAAGGAACUACCUCACAUUAAAAAAAUGUUACAGUAUAUUGCAUUGUUGCUCACCAUGAUGUUUGCGAUAUUCGUAGCCAAAUUAUUCGUAGAAACUUUUAUGAUGAAUAUUGAAAUACAAAAUAGGAGAAUCGAUAUAAAUUUACACCUCCAACAUAACAGUAUUUUGAGUUGGGUAAUUUACAUUUUACUAAUAUUCAUGGUGGCGGCAAUAGUAAUAUGCAAUAUAAUAAUAUUAGUGGUGGUACCACUGAUGCUAUGUUUAACUAUAUUCUAUUGCAUUUAUAUUAUAGGAAUUCAAUUAUACACAAUAAUAUUAUUUAUCUUGACAUGUAUUGAUGUCCACGAUGUCUUAAAAUUUUAAUAUACACUGACCACAUGUUUUACGUAAAGGCUGAAUUUCUUUCGGUAUUCUUAACUCAUUAAUCUAAUAAUCUUAAAAACAAUAUUGUAAUGACAACUUGCAUAGUAAAUUCCAAAUUAGCAACGCAGUUAUUAAUAAAAUGUUUAUUAUUUGCAUGCAAGUGGACAUAUAUUACAGAAUAUCAUAGACUUUAAUGAACAAUUUGUGACAAAUUAAUUAUCAUUAAAUUUAGUUGGAGAACCAUAUAAUAAUAAAACAAAAAUUGUUAAAUCAAUAGUUUUGUUCAAAUUUUCGUCAAUAUUAACAAACUAUGUCUAUGCAACUGCAUCAAAACUUAUAUAAAUAUUUUU